rnacentral:rRNA from 1 species
UACGAAGGGGGCUAGCGUUGUUCGGAAUUACUGGGCGUAAAGCGCGUGUAGGCGGGUCUUUAAGUCAGGGGUGAAAUGCCAGGGCUCAACCUUGGAACUGCCUUUGAUACUGAAGAUCUUGAGUCCGGGAGAGGUGAGUGGAACUGCGAGUGUAGAGGUGAAAUUCGUAGAUAUUCGCAAGAACACCAGUGGCGAAGGCGGCUCACUGGCCCGGUACUGACGCUGAGGCACGAAAGCGUGGGGAGCAAACAGG